UCAGAAAAAAUUGAAAAUUGGUGUUGUUCUUCAACCUUGGAUUCAAUUGGGUGUUGUGCUAGUUAACCAAAUUGGAUUUAGCACCAAAAUCACUUUUCUUAAUAAUUAAUUUUUGGGUUUUUAUUGCUGGAUUUUUUCAACUGCUAGUUGUAGUUGUUGUGGAUGUUUUGAAGAUUUUGGUUGAUUUUCCCAUUGUUAUUGAAUCUGGAAAAAAAAAUUAGGAAAUAGAUAUGAAGAUUUUGGUUGAUUUGUUUUAGGGAGAUUGAGAAAUUGUG
rnacentral:lncRNA from 1 species